UACGGGGGGGGCAAGCGUUGUUCGGAAUUACUGGGCGUAAAGGGCUCGUAGGCGGCCAACUAAGUCAGACGUGAAAUCCCUCGGCUUAACCGGGGAACUGCGUCUGAUACUGGAUGGCUUGAGUUUGGGAGAGGGAUGCGGAAUUCCAGGUGUAGCGGUGAAAUGCGCAGAUAUCGGGAGGAACACCUAUGGCGAAGGCAGCUCGCUGGGACGUUACUGACGCUGAGACGCGAAAGCGUGGGGAGCAAACAGG
rnacentral:rRNA from 1 species